CUGCUUCUGUUUGCUUCUUUUCAACUACAAGUCUACAAGAUCUAGUUUAAGCUGUCUCUUGAUUUGUUGUUCUGUUCUUUGCUUUGACUUUUGAAUAAUAUUAAAGACAUGUUGCAUUCGCUUGCUUGCAGCUCUAUUUCACUUUGCACUAACCUAAUUACUCGAUUCUCCUUCGACAAAAACAACUUCGUCGCCUUCGUCAAUUGGUAAUAGGAUCUCAUUUCUUCGCCAGCUAUCAGCAGCCCUCGCCAGAGAUCAGCAGUCUUGGGAUUAAAUGCAACCGUUUAGAAGUGCAAAAUAUAUUUAUUAAGAUUUUUAGUAUUAAUAGAUUAUCAAAACAUUAAUAUAUCGCCAAAGACGAUUUCUUCAAAGCGGUUUUUCAGGCAACAACCUUCAUUAUCUUAGUUUUCUGGUCGGUACUGCCUCUUAGGCCUCGCUGGCCUUUUGCUUUUCCUAGUU